rnacentral:SRP_RNA from 14 species
GGUUGUGCGCAGGAGGUCCUGGCGAAGCGUUCUACCUAUUCUCGAACGUUGACGAGAGGUCCGCGUGAGCUUGCUAUCGACGAUCGAGCGUUUCUUGAAGGAGGCGUUUGUCGUCGUUAAAGCGGAAAGUCUUCGAUGGCAGGAAACUGAGCAGAAAAACUGCCGCGUAGUAAGCAGCAC